ensembl:lncRNA
CAAUGUUGUAGUAGGCGUCUUGCGGGGGCACGGGAUGUACGGGACAGGCCUCUCCCUAAACAUAGAGAGAUAGUGCUAUCGUGCUGACCUUGUUGCAGAGAAAACAGGAGAAGAAGAAGGAUGAUAAAAGAAUGUGGAAAUGGCCAAAUAAGGCACAAUGUUAUCUGGUGUGAACUAAUCAGAGUGGGACAUGACAGCACGGUUAUCUAGGUAAAAAUGUAUAUAAGCUGUGUUUAGUAGUGAAUAAACGCCAUUUGCCUCACUUACUCCUGGGGUCUGGGUGAGCAUCUGGCCCCGACCUGGUAAAGGGUCGGUUUCGCCCAGCAGUAAGCCCUACAUGUGGACAGAGGACGAACACCGGACGAGCGAACGGAGACUACAUGCAACAAGUGGUGACCCCGACGUGAUCUGUCUGCUGAGGGUGGCUGCCCGGCGUGCCCGUGACGCGGAGAAGAGCCUGUGAGGUGGCGGCAGGUCGCAUACGUAACAAUGGACCAAGUCAUUAAGGUACUUGUGCAGUUUUGUAAGGACUACUGUGGAAAAUCUACUCCUUCCCGGAAGGAGAUCGCGGCAGUUUUGUCGCUGUUAAAUGAGCUGGGGGAGCUGGACUCUCCCCGCUACGUUUUGGAUUCGAGUAGGUGGGACUUGCUCACCUCGGUGCUAUGCCAGCGCGCCAUGGCCAGUCAGAAGGCUACGGAACUUAAAACGUGGGGACUGAUAUUAGGAGCCCUUAAAGCGGCCAGAGUUGAGGGAAAGGUAUUGGCAGAGGCUCGAUACCUUUUGGGUCUCAGCGGAGGAGGUGAGACACAGGACCCGGUCGGGUCCGAUGGGGGUUCGGGAGCAGUUUCUUGCAGGGGCCGAGAGGAGACGGAGCCGCCAAUGACCGUUGGCGGGAUGGCGCCGGCUGAGCCGACCGCGCUCAGUUCAAAAGAAGACAAACAACAAGAGAGUGAAAGUUUGUUGUCUCGUCCCCCUCCCCCGUAUCCGAACCCCUCAGGCGGAACGUUGUAUCCUUUAUCAGAAUUACGUCAGUGUUACCUGACUCAAGGGGGCGGAGGAAGCUGUGAUCUACACGGGCAGGAUCAACUUAGUGCCCACAUGGGGAGGGACCAGACAAAAGGUCCGUCCAAUGCGGACAGGGGGCAUAGCCUACUGUCUCUGGUCACUCCCGGGGGCGGUAGUGCGAGUGAUAGUGUAGAAGAGAAAGAAGGGACUGGCUCUGAGUGCAGGGGGAGGGAUCAAAUGACAGACUGGAAUGGGAUUAGAUCGGAGGCUUUGGGAAAGGGUAUAGUUCCAGAGGCAUUCCGGGUGAUUGUGAGUGAUCGUGGUCCCGAAUGGGUGCCGCCUGACCCCGGGGGUGUUACGCGCCUGGUGGAAUUUAUGGAUAAAAGAGGCCUGAAAUCGCCUCUGACAUUAAAUGCACUACAAACUUUGGCUGCACUGGGGCCUCUCUUCCCCCGUGACAUCACAAACUUAAUGCGUAUGGUGCUCAGGCUGGUUCAAUAUACGUUAUGGGAGACGGACUGGGUGGCCGAAUUGGGGGGCCGUGCCGGGGCGACAGGGGUCAGCCCGCGCCGCUCCCUGCAUGGGACCGGAAUACAGCGGCUUUCAGGGAAGGCCGUGGGAGUGGCUUCGCCCCAGGGCCAGCUAGCGAGACUAAGGCCAGGGGAGCUAAUAGCAGCCACAGAUGCAGUGGUGGAAGCGUUUAAUAAACUUGUGCAUAAGGCCGAACCACCUACUCCGUGCACAGAUAUUACCCAGGGCCCGAAUGAAUCCUUUCAAAGCUUUACAGACAGGCUUUUAGCUGCUGCAGAGGGGUCUGAUCUCCUGGUACCGGCCCAAGGGCCAGUGAUCAUUGACUGCUUGCAGCAGAAAUCGCAUGACAAUGUUAAGGCAUUGCUGCGAGCCGGCCGAAGUACGCUUAAUACCUCGGGAGCCGGCCGAAGUACGCUUAAUACCUCGGGAGAAGUUAUUCAGUAUGUCUUAGAUAAGCUCAAGGUGGCUCAUUUAACUAAUGAAAGGCUAGUCACAGCUAUUGUCGUAGCUGUUGGCCUGCGACAGCAAAGAUCGCUGCAGCAGCAAGGGCUGUGUUUCCAUACGGCCAGUAUGGCCAUGUUAGAGCACAAUGCCCCUGUGGGGGAGGCCAGUCAGGGCCUCCUGAUCACAGGAAGGGCUUGCUAAAGGGUAUCCGUGGUCGGGUAUGCAGCAGUUAAAUAUCAUGAAUCUGGGAAAUUCUGUGGGUACCAUCGUGAAAAGUAAUACCAGAUAUAAGUAGCAUAUCUGCAAAAACUGAGUCUAGGUGCGAGUUUUCUACAGAAAUUCUUCGUUGGCAGACCGAAGCCAACUCCAGAACAACUGAGGGACAGACGAUGGGAUCAAGAACCACUCGUCAAGAGGAGCACUACACCUGCAACGCUGACACUUCCGAUGUUGCUGAUAUUUAUGGUGUCCAUGGCGAUUACAGAGUGUCACAAACAACUACAAUGGACGCAAGAACAUCUGCAGAAAAUUAAAGAAGAGCGUGAUCCCUUUGGAAGCUGGCUGGACGGACUGUUUGGGGGAACGGGUUCAUGGUUAAAGCAAUUGCUUAAAGCUCUCGCAGUAGGAUUUGCAAUCUUUGUGUGUAUUCUAAUCUGUCUUCCAUGCUUUGUAGGAUGCUUGCAGAACUGCCUUCAACGAAUGAUGGACAAGACUUUUGACUAUCACAUUGAGUAUCAUAGAUUGCGUGAAAAAUUAUAGAGGGGUUUAGGUUGUUGCGUUCGUGCUGUAACGGGGCAAGGCUUGGCCGAGCACGGAAAAGAAUUCCCUGUUGCUCUGAUGAUUGCUUAAGAACUGUAGUAGAAAAUAGUAGGAAUAGUGUGCUGAAAUAUAUUUAGGAUUAGGCGUUUUGCGCUGCUUCGCGAUGUACGGGUUAGGUGUGUGUGUAAGUAGUGUUUAGCUUAGGGAGGGGGAGAUGUUGUAGUAGGCGUCUUGCGGGGGCACGGGAUGUACGGGACAGGCCUCUCCCUAAACAUAGAGAGAUAGUGCUAUCGUGCUGACCUUGUUGCAGAGAAAACAGGAGAAGAAGAAGGAUGAUAAAAGAAUGUGGAAAUGGCCAAAUAAGGCACAAUGUUAUCUGGUGUGAACUAAUCAGAGUGGGACAUGACAGCACGGUUAUCUAGGUAAAAAUGUAUAUAAGCUGUGUUUAGUAGUGAAUAAACGCCAUUUGC